AUGAUUGUUGGCCUCAGGGGCAAUAAGUGGGUUUUUACCUACUUUGUUGCACAACAUACACACCCUUUGAUGCAGCGUGAGGAGAUUGUGAGGUUCUACCGCUCACACCGCAAAAUUCCAGAAGAAGAUUACCAACUACUGAUGACAAUGCAUGAUGUAAACUUGUCAACUACAAAUUGCAUGGGAAUGCUUGGAAUGGUCCAUGGCGGAGACCGGAGGAAACUGCCAUAUGUGAAGAGGGAUGUUUCAAAUGCGCGUUCCAAGCUGCGACAAAAUCAGUCAUUUCAGGACAUGGAUAUGACGGUUGCUUACUUUAAGAGGCGUCAAGCUGAGAAUGCUCAAUUCUACUACGCAACAGAAGUUGACAAAGAAACAAACGAAGUGACAGCUCUGUUUUGGGUG
rnacentral:rRNA from 1 species